AGUGAACGCUGGCGGUAGGCCUAACACAUGCAAGUCGAACGGCAGCACAGUAAGAGCUUGCUCUUACGGGUGGCGAGUGGCGGACGGGUGAGGAAUACAUCGGAAUCUACUUUUUCGUGGGGGAUAACGUAGGGAAACUUACGCUAAUACCGCAUACGACCUACGGGUGAAAGCAGGGGAUCUUCGGACCUUGCGCGAUUGAAUGAGCCGAUGUCGGAUUGGCUAGUUGGCGGGGUAAAGGCCCACCAAGGCGACGAUCCGUAGCUGGUCUGAGAGGAUGAUCAGCCACACUGGAACUGAGACACGGUCCAGACUCCUACGGGAGGCAGCAGUGGGGAAUAUUGGACAAUGGGCGCAAGCCUGAUCCAGCCAUACCGCGUGGGUGAAGAAGGCCUUCGGGUUGUAAAGCCCUUUUGUUGGGAAAGAAAAGCAGCAGGUUAAUACCCUGCUGUUCUGACGGUACCCAAAGAAUAAGCACCGGCUAACUUCGUG
rnacentral:rRNA from 1 species